rnacentral:sRNA from 1 species
AUGUACCACUCGCACACUCCGGGUCUAAGCGCGACGCGCACACCUCCUGACGGCUGCUCGCUACCUUGUUGUUAGCC